rnacentral:lncRNA from 7 species
UAGAAAUGGUGAUUAUUCAGAGAAGAAUGCUAAGCAGCUGGACUGUAUGUAUCAUAUGGACGACCGCUUGUGGGAAGAAGCUCUCUAGCUGUUGGGAUUGCACAUAUGCCACAUGAAUGACAUUUUUCAGUGAGUUACUGUGGGAUGAUUACUAUGGAUCUCAGGGAUACAGGCAGAGAGGUCAGAGGUAACUUCAGACUGCAGUUUUGUCUACGGGGAAAAAAUCAGAUGAGACAUUCUGAGGAAAACCCUGAAGCAGGAAAAAAUGCCCAAGUGGAAGCAUUUGCUGCUCUGGGAAGGAAAGGAUUUCCCCAUGGAAGACAGCUUUUUGGCAAGUCAAUAAGUUUCUAACCUGCCAAAUAGUUGUGGUGGCGUUGUCCCAGGAAAGCAUUCAGUACUUCUGUUUUGGAGAACUGAAAACAGAACUCAAAUACAGUACAAAGUUAAGACAAGAACCUUUUGCAGCUUCAACAACAUCUCUUCAGCUAAGUACCUACUUAAUUGAAAAACAGGAUUUGUUACUACCUGGUAUCUUUUAUCCCUGCAGAAGAGUAAGCUGGAUGUACCACAGGGCAGCAUGCAGAGUGCAGUGUGUGGGGGAAGAAAAACCACUCUACCCAAACCUUUCUCUAUGCAGGCUGAGAAAGUGAGCUACAGAUGGAUUCCAGAGGCAUCGUUUCUCAUGGAUCAUUCUUCACUGCUAUUCCUUUAGUCUUAGGAGCACUUUAGCAGCAGGUUUGACAAACAGCUCAUCUCCUGCAUUAUGUUGGGCCAAAACCUGUGAAGGUUUAAAGCUUGAACUUGUGAACUCAGUGACUGGUGCUAUGGUCUGCAGUAUUGCGUGAGUACUAAGCCUUAGAAUGUAGCAAGUAUGUACAAUGUCUAUCAGUGCUUUUAAUCUCUGUAAGGUUAAGAAGAGAAGGAAGAUAAAUAGCUUCAUAGCAUGCUUGUAAAUUUUAUACACAAAUGACUUUCCAGAUGCUGUUAUAUGCAUCUUGAGACUGCAAAUCCUUGUUGGUUGCCCAUGUGAUCACAGAACUUAGUAUUUAUCCUAACUAAUCUGUGUCAAUAUGUAUCAUGACUAGUUUUUCAUGAAGUGACUACCAAGGCACUGGAGGAUGCAGCUAAAUUUCUGCCCUUGUUUGCUCUGUUACACCAUGUAAUUCUUUAUUGACAGUAAAAGUGGCACUACUUUGCUUAACUGUUGUCAUAGACAGGAUAUUCCAGGUCCUCAAAGAGUGCUUUCUUUCCCUUAUUUACAGAUAGCAAUUUUAUAGUAAAAGAUCAAGGAC